AUAAAAAAACAAUGGAGUUGGAUUUAAAAUUUAAAAUAAUAAUAAUAUUUAAAUUAAAUAUAAUAUUGUCAUAUGAUCAGUGGCAUUUAAGGGUAAAUAUAAUAUCUAUUCGAGUAAUAGAUAUAAAUUAAGUUAUAAGCGGGGAUUAGAUCAAUUUUGCGUUUGGAUGAAAAUUGAAUUAUUCCUGAGAUUAAAAUAUAAUGAAAUUACCCGAUUAUUAUAGUUCAUACACAUAAAAAAGUUGAUCAAGAAGGCUAAGAAAUGGGAGAUUUCGCCGGACAUGAUGGAUGUGUCCGAGUUAGAGAUCGAGAAAUUUUAGUGUGAAUUCUCUUCUGAAGCUUCGAAGCUUGCUAAAGAGUUUGAAAGUUUUCAAUAAGAGUAUCAGCAUAUAACCGACCAUCCCUAGAGCAAGCGGCAAAGGGCUUGGUGGUUGGUAUUCGAGACCCAAGUUCGAAUCCUAGUUGAUUCACAUUUUCAACUAAGUUUAUUUCUAAAUGAAAUAAAUGAAGCAGAUAGCGUGCUACCUAUCUCUCUCAAAAAAAAAAAAAGUAUCAGCAUAUAUGUUGCUGAAAAUUGCACUACAUUUUAUGUUUUAAAUAAAUAAAAAAUUACACUAUAUUAAUUUUCAUUUUAUGUUUUAAAUUAAAUAAAUAAAAAAUUACACUACAUU
rnacentral:lncRNA from 1 species